rnacentral:lncRNA from 1 species
AGAAUAACAACAAUAAAAAUUCAGUUGGGUAUACACACAUGGGGCUAUCUUGUGGUUUCUGUGCUUUAUUCUAUUCUAUAUCUUUCCCUGUACUGAUUGAUACCGUAUUGUCUGCAAUUACUUCAGUAAUAUUCUUCCAUUUUGUUCUUCUAAAGAAUUUCCUUGAGUUUAGGACCCAGAGUUUCCAUGUGAAUUAAAAUGGUCUAUAUUUGUAGAAACCACUGCAAGAGUUUGAUAUGAAUUACUUUAACCCGACAGAACAAAUUGAGAAUUAAUAUAUAAUAGGUUGGGUCUUCCAUUCCCUGAAAUACUGCAUAUGUCUUCAUUUAGUCAGGUCUUUGAUUUUUAGCUCACCAGCAAUGAAUAAUUUUCAGCUUUGAAAUUUUAUAUACACCAUGUUAGAUUCAUAACCAUUUCAUUUUCUCUGUAAUAAUUAUAUAUUGUAUUUUUUAAGGUUUCCACUCAUUUGUUACUGUUUCAUAAAAUUAUGACUGGUUUCUUUCUCUGAGUUGACUUUGUGUCCUAGAAACUUUCUGAACUUGUUUGCUAUUCCUGAAAAAUACUAUUGAAAUUAUUUUUAUUUUUUUAUUUGGGAAAUUAUGUCAGCUACAACUGGGGAGUUUUGUCUCAUUUAAAUGCAUUUGUGCCCUAUAUUGCCAGGCUAUGAUGUUUAACAUCACAUCUGUCAGGAGAGGUGUAGACCAACGAAGAACACUUCUUGUUUCUGAUCCCUCAUAGGAAGAAUCCAGACUUUCACUUUCUGCAUAAUGAUGGCUAUAGGAUGUCUCAUAGUCAGCCCUUACAAAAUUGAAACUCCCAACCAUGCCCAUUUUUAAGUUUUAAUAAUGACUUAUAUUGGUAUAUUUCAAAUGAUUUCCUGUAUUCAUAGAUAUAACCUUGUUUCCUUUCAACUUAUUGAGAUAAGAUAGAUUGCAUUGAUUGUUUAUCGAAUGUCAAAUUAAAUUUGUACAUCUGGAAUAAAUGCUGUUUGGUUACUGUACAUAAUUCUUGAACAUACUUUUAAGUUCACGGCAUUAAUAUUUUGUUAAGUCUCUAUAUGGCUGUGUUCCUGAGAGACAGGGUCUGUUAGGUUUUGGUCCUGUAUACCUGAUAUUAAUUACUGAUAAGAGGUUAAAUGAGUGGUUGUGUUGUGGAACUCCUGUGUAACUUCUGAAAAGAGAUAGUGAGCUGGUGUUCCUUCUGCUUUGAACACUUGGUCAGGAUCGCAAAGAUUUCUUUACUGGGAGCCUUUUAAUUUACCAAAUGGAAAAACCUGUAGACAUUUGCACCUGUUUUACAUUUGUUGAUUUUACUUAGUUGGUAGUUUUGAGGAGUUAGGUUUCUUUUUCUUCUACAUCACUGACACCAUAACGUAGCAGAGGCUGUUGCCUUACAUCUCCUCAUUUAUUUUUUCCUUUUCCUUUUUAAUUUUUUCUCUCCUUUCUUUUCUCUCUCUUCAUUCCUGUUUGCUGUGCCAGAGAAUGAACUCAGCACCUAUGCGCCCUAGGUAAGACAUCUCCCACGGAGGUGUGCUGUACCUCACUCAGAUCCUUGCUCCUUUCUAGGAGGCUAUAGAUUUUUUCACAGCACUGCCCACUUCAGUUUUGGAGCUGAUGGCAUCUGUCCUUCCAUUUUUCUUGGGUUUUCAGAGCUGACUUUUUAUCACACUUUUCCUCAGCUGUCUGUGCUAAUGACAUUUACUUCUGAUUUGUGAUCUUAUGCCAUUUUCUCAACUUGUUUAUUGUAUCUGUUUUCUUUCUUUUCUUGAUUCUGGGUGUAGGAACUUAUAUCUACUAAACUGGGAA